UACAAAUGAAGUCUCCUUUCUUAUCAUGUAAGUCCCUCCUUCACAUUCCCUGUGUGAAUGUGGUAUUAAGUGCUUUUACCAACUUGAUCACUCUGCUUCAUUACAGAAUUUUUAAAGAUGCCACACUUUCCACUGGGUUGACCAUUCUAGAAUGGUGUGAUCAGAAUGGUCAUCGCCUUGGACUGGACUUUUAACAUGUAUUGGCACCUGCCAAAUAUUUGUGUUAUUAGUCACAUCUGUUUUUAAGAGACAGCGCUCCUGAAAGACAGAUGGAGUCAUAGAUCUGCUUUUCCAACGCUUUCUUAAAGCAUUUCUAGGAAAGUAGUAAUUCCACUUUAUUCGACUUGGUGGAGAAGCUCAUGCCACUUGUUUUGGAGGCAGAGUUGAUUUCUGAGGUUGCCUUUCACAGAGCCGAGAAGGGAUCUUAGAGUUCAUUUUAUUAGUCAUAUUUUACAGGUGACAAAAUGAAGUCUAGAGAGGUUUAACAAUGUUUGCCCGAAGCCACACACUGGUAAGUGACUAAGCCCCAAGCUAAUGCUGGGCCCCAGGUACAGGAGCCCACCUCGCCACUGCUUCCUUGUGUCUGGUUCUGCCUCGGGAACUGGCCUAGGAACAGACUCCCUGCCACCCGCCGCAGCCACAGACGUUUUCACGAUUCUUUUUUGUAUUUUCCAAGUCUUCUACAGUGAUCCAUUACUUUUAUAAUCAGAAAACAAUCAACUGGCACAGACAAGGUGGCUCACACCUGUAAUUCCAGCACUUUGGGAGUCCCAGGUGGGCGGAUUAUUUGAGGUUGGGAGUUUGAGACCAGCCUGGACAACAUGUCAAAAACCCAUCUCUACUAAAAAUACAAAACUUAGCUGGGUGUGGGUGGCGUAUGCCUGUAAUCCCUUCUUCUCGGGAGGCUGAGGCAGGAGAAUCGCUUAACACAGGCAGACGUUGCAGUGAGCUGAGAUUGCACUACUGCACUCCAGCCUGGGCGACAGAGUGAGGCAUCAACUCAAAAAAAAAAACAAAAAAGAAAAGAAAGCAAUCAAUUGGCCAGAUAUGGUGACUCAAGCCUGUAAUGCCAGCGCUUUGGGAGGCUGAGGCAGGAGGAUCACUUGAAGCCAGGAGUUUGAGACCAGGCGGGGCAUAAAAGCGAGACCCUGUCUCUAUUAAAGAAAAAAAAAGUGCUUGCUUUGGCAGCACAUAUGCUAAAAUUGGAAGGAUACACAGAAGAUUAGCAUGGCCCCUGCGCAAGAACGACACGCAAAUUCAUGAAGCGUUCCAUAUUUUUAUCUGCCAGCCAUCACCACCCGAUUUUGAUUGUAUCCUUCCUCCCAUCCUUUAAUCUGUUCACUGCUUUGUCUGGGGGAGCUGGGGUCGUUGGCUCAGACGUUGGCGUUUGUUCUUUGAUGGAUGAACGAACACUCCAGUUUUCUUUCCCGUGGAGGUUGUUUCAGCCACAAACCACUUCAUUUUGCUGUUUCAAUUUCAAAAUAAAAUGAAACAUAUUGAAAAAAAAGAAAGAAAAGAAAUCAAUCAAUCAAACAAACAAACAAAACCCAGUAGUUUUGAAAAACACACCUCACUCAUACCAAGGCCAGCCCCUAAAGUCCCUGGGUCUGUUCUCUGAACCUCUAGGUCAGGGAAACUGCUGUUCCAUAUCUCCUGACUCCUUAAAAUUCAGUGACUCAAAGAUCCCAUUUUGGUCAGAAGUUGAACAACAAUAAAACCUUUUCCUAUCCUGUCGGCCACAUUCACGAACUCCCGGGCUCCCACGCGGUUUAUUUUUAAGACGCUGGUUUAAAUUUCUCGAGUUACGGGGGGAAGGGGUUGCGGUGGGAGCGAGACUGAGAACCACAGCGCGAACAGGGGCGCAUUGGUACCAGGAUCGGUACAGGGAUGUCUCCAGUUCCUAUAGACUCUAGCCUCGGGGGGAGUCUGUCCAGACUACAAGUGUCUGUGCCCCUGUUUUAUUUUGAGACAAGUCGGGGUCGCUCAAUGAGUCAGCACAGAGGAGGCAGUGGGGGAGACAGACAGCGGCUGGGACGCGCGGGACUGGGGCGCGCCUUGCGCGCUGGGCACCGGAGCUGCGCACGGGCGGCCCGGGGCGGGGGCCCCAGAGAGCCCGGGAGGGCGUGGACUCGGCCGGGGAGGGGCGGGCUCGGGCGCGUCUGGGUUGGAGCUGGAUGAUGUAAAACAGCGCGGAGCUCCUUGGCGCCUCGGCACCAUUACCUUCAAUUAUCAUAAUUGGUGCCUCUCUCCAGCGUUUGCAUUUCCCCCGAGGGAUCUCUCACUAGUUCCCGUUCCUUCUCCUCGCCCUCUCUCGCUCACUCGCUCUCGGCUCCCGAUCGCUCUCCCAGCCUCGCCCUCCCCUCAGUAUCGAUCUUUUUGGAUGUUCUCCCUGCCUAAAACGGAUGCUAAUAUCUCUUCGAUUGAACCGAAAUGGCGCUGCGGCUGCUACUUUUCCAUUGUCAAUAGAAACUUAGAGGGACCCGGGGAUCAGCAUUUAUCUUAUACUUAAACUAAUUUCUCUAAGUACUUUUCUACUUGUAGUCCAAAGAACCGGGAAUUAGUAACGAUGUGUGGAACCUGGAGUACAUUUUCCCGAAACUUCCCGAUCUGUCAAUAGGAAGGUUAAUCUUCCUGGACACCCCCGUCUCCCUCCUCCCACUCUCUUCGCUGGAGUCGUGCUGGCUGAUGGGAACGAAAAGAUUUCAGAUCUGAAAAGGCUUUGAUUGUACCUUGAGACAUCACCUUGACAAAAAUAUAAAAACAUAGGCUCUUCUCUCUGCACUGUCUGCGUCUUUCAGGGGCUGGACUUCACCUGUCUCCAGAAAAACUGCGGAUCUUCAGGUAUGACUUGAAGGAUUAGGAAAGAGAGAAGUACCAGUGCCCCUUCCCAUCAUUCCUACAGAUCUUUGUUAACAUUAGGCAGUCACCUAAAAAAAAAAAAAGGCAGGUGGAUUAGAAGCAUUUUGAGGGCAGGAGCCGUUUCAGAAAUCUCUUGAUCACCCCUAAAAAAAAGGACAGCUCAUGAGUACAGUUCAUGGCAAGUGUAUCCAUAAUUAGUCAGGAUUUUCUUGGGAAAUGCUUCCGUUUGAAAGUGAAUAAGCAACAUCAGACUUCUUCGAAAAAUGCCAUUGGAUAGGAGAUGGGUUAUCUCAAGGUGUCACGUUGCAGGGUGGAAGAGUUGUGUUUUCCAGCAGACUAGAGGCACGAGUUAUGGUUCCAUGAGAGCAGCUAAGUUUCUUGCGUAAUGAUAAGUUAGGCGACCAAUUUGUCUCAGCUGAUUCUUGGACUAUCACCAGUCAUGGGAGCAAACGUUUGUUGGCAAGAUUCCGCGUUUUUAGAGAGAUACCACCACCCUGCCCAGGCUGCAGUCUGACUUGGCAGUAACAUUAUUUGCACUUCAAAUCUUCAGCUCCAGGGAGGAGAAAAUCCUGAAACCACCUGGGAAGUCCUGAAGCCAUCAUAAAUACAUUCAGAUAUUACAAAUUUUUUCCUUAGACCGAUUUCUAAGGAAAAUUGGUCACCAUUUCUAUAGAGAUUCACAGUUAACAAAACUUACACGAAGACCUCAAGUUGUACUAGUAGCAAUCUCUGGAGCAGGCAGGCUACCAAACACUCUUGUUCUCAUUUUAUGGGCAAGAAAACUGAGUACCAAGGGGCCAAUUGAUUGGCUCAUAAAAACUCAUUGAGUAUACUGGGCGUGGAGGUUCAUGCCUGUGAUCCCAGCACUUUGGGAGGCUGAGGCAGGCGAAUCACUUGAGGCCAGGAGUUCGAGACCAGCCUGGCCAAAACGGUGAAACCCUGCCUCUAUCAAAAAUACAAAAGUUAUCCAGGCAUGGUGGCAAACAUCUGUAAUCCUAGCCACUCAGGAGGGUGAGGCACGAGAAUUGCUUGAACCUGGGAGGUGGAGGCUGCAGUGAGCUCGCUCCACUGCACUUCAGCCUGGGCAAUGGAGCAAGACUCUAUCUCAAAAAUAAUAAUAAUAAUAAUAAUAAUAAUAAAAUAAACAACCAGCUUGGGCAACAUGGCGAGACCCUGUCUCUACAAAAUAUUUAAAAAUUAGCAGGGUGCGGUGGCAUGCACCUGUAGUCCUAGCUACUGGGGAGUCUGAGGUGAGGGGAUCACUUGAGCCAUGGUGGUGGAGGCUGCAGUGAGCUGAGAUUGUGCCAGUGCACUCCAGCCUGGGUGACAGAGCCAGGCCGUCUCAAAAAACACACAAACAAAACAUUGAGUAAUGGAGUGUGGAUACAAAUGCAGGACUUCAGUUUCUUACUUUAGUGUUACUUUUUCCUUGCUCUGUUACCCAGGCUGGAGUGCAGUGGUGCGAUCUCGGCUUGCUGCAGCCUCCCCAUCUCUGGCUCAAGGGAUUCUCCAGCCUCAGCCUCCUGAGUAGCUGGGAUUACAGGCAUGCACCACCACACCCAGCUAAUUUUUGUAUUUUUAGUAGAGAUGGGGUUUUACCGCGUUGCCUAGGGUGGUCUUGAGCUCCUGGAUUCAAGUGAUCCACCCUCCUUGGCCUCCCAAAGUGCUGGGAUUAUAGGUGUGAACCACCUUGCGAGGCCCAGGGAACUCUUUUUAUAUACUCCUGUCAUUUAAUGAGGAACAACUAAGUGGUAUGGGGUGGAGCCAAGUGGAUGGACCUCCAAGGAAACAAGUGACUACUUUGACCCUUUGGCUGUAAUAUUGAUGGAUUUUGCUCAUGUAUUCCAUACAGACUGGCAAGCAAUGCCAUUGCUCAUAGACAUUGCAUCAUGGGCAUCUUGCCUGCUCUUCCCCCCGCCACUAUAUGUGGAAAAUGCCAGGUUGACUAUUCACUCCAAAUACUCACCUUUCUCAAGAAACUAAUAAAAAGCUCUGCUCGUUGCCAUGGCCCCACUAAGAAGACAAGAUGUUCAAGAUUGUUGUAUAUUAAAAAUAAUCCACGAGUUCAAAAUGGUCCUGGACUCUGGAAAGUCUUGUACUCUGCAAGGUUCUGAGUCUUCAGUCUGUUUAAAAUGGGCUGUCUUCAAAUGGCUACAUUAAGUUAUUUUAGAUGAUAGCAAACACUCAAGUGAUAAAGUCACACAGAAGUAAUAAUUUGAAGGAAUGAUUUUUUUUUUUUUUGAGACAGAGUCUCACUCUGUUGUCCAGGCUGGAGUGCAGUGGCGCAAUCUUGGCUCACAGUAACCUCCGCCUCCUGGAGAUUCUCCUGCUUCAGCCUCCCCAGUAGCUGGGAUUACAGGCAUGUGCCACGAUGCUCGGCUAAUUUUUAUAUUUUUAGUAGAGAUGGGGUUUCACCAUAUUGGCCAGGUUGUUCUCAAACUCCUGACCUCAAGUUAUCCAUCUGCCUCAGCUUCUCAAAGUGCUGGGAUUACAGGCAUGAACCACCGUGCCUGGCUUGGAGGAAUGAUCUUAAUUCCACUCACUAAUCACUUCUCAGCCUUUUGGCUAAGGUCAAAAUUCACUCACUAAUAUAUUUCUUUUCUUUUGAGAUGGUCUCUCUCUGUUGCCCAGGCUGAAGUGUGGUGGUGUGAUCUUAGUUCACUGCAGCCUGGAACGCCUGGGCUCCAGUAAUCCUCCUACUUUAGCCUCCCAAGUAGCUGAGACUACAGGCAUCUGCUACCGGGCUUGCUGGUCUCAAACUCCUGAACUCAUGUGAUCCUCCCACCUCAGCCUCCCAAAGUGCUAGAAUUACAGGUGUGAGCCUCUGAGCCUGGCCUACUUUAUUUUGCUUUAUAGGUGAAUUAACUUUAUAUAAUAUGACAUGCUUUAUGGUGCCAGCCUGCCCAUAUCUCUUUCUGUGUGUUCUUUCUGGCUCACACCCUUGCUGAGAGCAGUACCCAGGUUUUAUAUUAGCCAGAACCCUAUCCAAGCCCAAGAGAUCACAGACUGAGUAUUUGGGGAUGGUGUCUCCGUAAGCUGAACAAAUGACUGUGAUAGUUUGCAGUAGUGAUAGAAGGUGAAACCAUCUCUUGGGUAGUAUCUCUCUGUAUAGGGGACUCAUGCUUGGACAAAAAAAAAAUAAAAGCAGAAAUUAUGAGAGUAAAAACUACAAAUAAGGAGAGGAUGACAGCCCACUGGCAAAGAGGUGAGAAGCAAAGACAACCCUGAGAAAAAGAGGCCCAAGUCUCUGGCUUCUGGCUCCAGGAAGGUUGGCUCCCCGAGCUGAUAAGCGGUGCUUGUCAAUGACCAGUUAGUAGUAACCAUACCAUAAGCCUAUUUUGUCCAUACCACAAACCCCUCCUAAAUUAAUCUUUAGUGUGUCUCUCUUCCUUUUAAUUAAGCAAGUUGACUAACGAUGUACUAUAAAUGUUUUAUUUUUAUUUAUUUAUUUAUUUAUUUGCUAUUAUGUUCUGGCCACUGUCAUUGUUUUUAUUUCAUAAUAAUUCCUGAGAAAAUAACUAACUAUAUAGUAUUUGUUUUAUCAUUUACAAAGUAUCAAGACACACAUUAUAUUUGAUGUGUGAGUUCAAGCCAUGAAAUAAAAUGCCAGCCAAACGUGCAUAUCUUCAAAUAUUUAAUGCAUUUUAACGAGAUUUAUGGACACAGGUUAUGAAGAGAGUACACCCUAAGUGAGGUCAUCAAUGAACAGAAUUCUUGUUCUUAUCCUUGGUAUUAAGGGAAGAACUUCUGAUGCGCUUUUCUCAGAUUGUAUAAUCUUCCUUUGUUCUAUCUGGUCACCUAACAAAUAAGCUCCUAUUCUGCUAUGAAUCCCUUAAACACAAAUAACUCUCUGAUAAGAUAGUCAAGCUCACACCUGUAAUCCCAGCUACUUGGGAGGCUAAGGUGGGAGGGUCACUCGAGGCUAGAAGUUUGGGACCAGCCUGGGCAACAUAAGGAGACUCUGUCUCAACAAAAAGUAUAGAAAUUAGCCCCAUGCAGUGGGGAGCACCUUAGCUACUUGGGAGGCUGGGGCCAGUGGUUCGAGGCUACAGUGAGCUAUGAUUGCAGCGCUGUACUCCAGCCUGAGUAACAGAGGGAGGCCUUCGUCUCUAAAAAAGCAAAAAAAAGCAAGUAACUCUCUACUCUCCCAUUCACAAUUUAGUGCCAUUUAGUUACAUGUUUAGCCUAUAAUUUCAAAGACAUCAUUUAAAAUCUUUAAAACAUCUAUACGGCCAGCAUGGUGGCUCACACCUAUAAUCCCAGCACUUUUGGAGGCUCAGGCAGGAGGAUUGCUUGAGCCCAGGAAUUCUGAGACCAGCCUCAGUAACAUAGGGAGACCACCAUCUCUACAAAAAAAUUAAAAAAUUAGUCGGGCAUGGUGGCUCGCGCCUAUAUAUAUACAUAUAUAUCUCCCAUGGAUAAAUUAUAUCUUGAAUGCUGUUUGAAGGUAAUAAAAAACUAUUCUACUGUUUAACGGUUUCAGUUAGGUCUAGAAUCAGUUUUCUGUUCUUGGGUAUAGAGAGCUUGUUCCUAGGUAUUUUCGGAAUCCCUUUGUAGAUGUAAAAAGAAUUUUGGUCGUUGAUUUCAUUUCUUGCUUUAAACUUCAAAAGGACAGUAGAUUGUACUAUUUUUUUUCCCUCUACUUAUCAACCUACAUGUAGGAAAGUAAUAACUGAAUUAUGUGCAAAGCAUAAGUAAAAUUCUCUAGAGAAGCAAUUUUCCUUAAGAAUGUUAAAUUGAAUUAAAAUUGUUGCCUAUUCUCUCAACUAUUGAUAUGGCCUUAUGAUUGACACAUUAUCCCUAAACUGAUUUUGAUAUUCUACAUUGAUUCAAACACUCUGAUUCAUUUAGUUGAAAAGUCCAUGUCUUCCCCAGAACCAUUAGAUAAAGUGCGGACUUGUUUCUCUUUAAUUUCUGGUCAUUUAGAAAGUUUGCCCAUUAAUAAUAAAAACAAAAUAGUUGAAAUCAUUGUCUAAAAAAUGGAUCCCAAGUUCUUAUUCAGAAUUGGACUUGGAACAAAAAAAUAUAUACAACCUGGAGUGCUCAAAGUCAACAUUAAUUCAAUAAAAUACAAAUAUCUUAGUUUGGUUUCUUUGGGUUGCAAGGAAAAGAACCUUAAGUAAAAAGGGGACUUUAUUAAGGUUACUGAAUUAACCUAAGGACAAGAAGUGACGCUGAGUGCCUGGAAAUCCAUUUGGAUUUAUGUAUUUGCCACUUUGCAUAUCUUCAUUAUUUUUCUUCCUCUGCAGACAGGUGGACUACAGCUGCCCCAAAGCAAAAUUUUUAUGUCUCCCGUGAAAUGACCUCAAGGGACUGAGCAGCAUGUCUGCUCAAAGACACAGAAGAGAGAAUCUAACUGACCUAACCUGGGUCAUGUGACUAGCUAUGGCCAGAGAUUAGGAGAUCAGAGUCUCCUAAUCAGGU
rnacentral:lncRNA from 1 species